rnacentral:rRNA from 1 species
GACGAACGCUGGCGGCGUGCCUAAUACAUGCAAGUAGAACGCACAGUUUAUACCGUAGCUUGCUACACCAUAGACUGUGAGUUGCGAACGGGUGAGUAACGCGUAGGUAACCUGCCUGGUAGCGGGGGAUAACUAUUGGAAACGAUAGCUAAUACCGCAUAAUAUUGAUUAUUGCAUGAUAAUUGAUUGAAAGAUGCUAUUGCAUCACUACCAGAUGGACCUGCGUUGUAUUAGCUAGUAGGUGAGGUAACGGCUCACCUAGGCGACGAUACAUAGCCGACCUGAGAGGGUGAUCGGCCACACUGGGACUGAGACACGGCCCAGACUCCUACGGGAGGCAGCAGUAGGGAAUCUUCGGCAAUGGACGAAAGUCUGACCGAGCAACGCCGCGUGAGUGAAGAAGGUUUUCGGAUCGUAAAGCUCUGUUGUAAGAGAAGAACGGGUGUGAGAGGGAAAGUUCAC